AGAGAGAGAGAGAGGGGAAAACAGAAUGUCAAAAGGAUAAAAAUAAAGCCUAUGAAACCACACUUUUAAGGAAACGAAACCGUACAUAUGGGCCAAUAGUCUAGGUAAGCAGAGCGCCAACGUAAACCAUAUGUCACUUAGUAGUGUUUGCUCGUCCCCCUCAGAAAAAAAAAGGAAAACAAAAUUAGUGUUUCCUCCAAAAAUAAAAAUGUGACUAGUAGUGGCAUGACCCAUUAACAUGAAAACUGACACAAACCAUAAACAUCAAACACGAUAGGGAGCAGCUA
rnacentral:lncRNA from 1 species